rfam:Fukomys damarensis contig145344, whole genome shotgun sequence.
GCUCGCUUCGGGAGCACAAUUGGAACGCUAUAGAGAAGAUUAGCAUGGCCCCUGCGCAAGGAUGACAUAUAUUUAUCUCUGAAGUGUGAUCAUGUGAUUUUUUU